rnacentral:rRNA from 1 species
CAGCGCCACAAGUGGCGAUCAUAUUUAUUUGGCCUAAAGCGUCCGUAGCUGGUUUAGUAAAUCUCUUGUGAAAUUGUUUUGCUUAACAAAACAGCGUGCAGGAGACACUGCUUGACUAGGGACCGGGGGGAGUCAGAGGUAUGCCUGGGGGAGCGGUAAAAUGCUAUAAUCCCCGGUAGACCACCUGUGGCGAAGGCGUCUGACUAGAACGGGUCCGACAGUGAGGGACGAAAGCCAGGGGAGCAAACCGGAUUAGAUACCCGAGUAGUCC